CUCUGUGUGAGAGAGGACUGUCUGAAUCUUUCUUUUGAGGAACAUGCAGAACUUAGUGACCAUGAACUGCAGACAGACAGCAAAUAUACAGAGGUCUUACCUGAGUUCAGCUCAGCAUUAAUUGCAGGCUACCUGGCAGUCCCUGCACUGUGCCCAUUUUGAGGUGAAGGUGGCCUAUGUGCAUGUGAAGGGAAUGACUGGGAUCUGAAGAACCAUGGCACACUUAUCCUGCUGCAGUGGGAACUUUUGGAGCCCACCGAGGCAGAGGCAGAGGUGUCAGCUCCAGGGCUCCUUCCAGCUGCUGAUCCAGAAAAAGGGCCUACUAUGAAGCUAGAGACAAACCCACCUCUGCUUCAGCCAUCACCUCAAGCAUCAGAGCCAGCAUCACCUCCAUCAGCCAUUCCAGAACUGGAACAGGGCUCACAUUUUCUGCAUGCAUGCCAUAUCCUGAGUUGCAGUCAGCUCAACCAUCAUCAUUACAUGGAAUUUAAACCCCAGUUCUAAAAAUAGAGACAGAGCCAACUCCAGCCCCAUAUGCUUUCUGCCCUAAAGAACCAGCUGAAUGAGGAGAAUGGACUUUCCUCCCAAGUCAGUGGCAGAGCAACUGAUGUACACAGAUGUGGUGAGCAGCUCGGCUGUCAGGGUGGAUCAGGGGCACACGUUACCUCUGCCAGCAGCUGCCCCAAACCUGGCUUUCCCUGAUGCAUACUCCUAUGGUCUGGGUCCAAAUCUCAGCUCCACCAUUUACCAACCAUGUCAACCCAUCAAGAUCCUUAAGCUCAAGCCUUCACUGUCCAGCUGUGGUCUCUAGAGAUAGACACUGAUAAGAACUGAUGCAAAUUGUGUAGAUUAAAUGAGCCAGAGCAGAAGUUGGAAGGCCCUGGUCCUUGGGGGAGGGGGGGCAGCUCACUGUGUGCAGCCAAAUGCAUGGGUCACCCCCCCCCUCAUCUGCCUUGGAGGCUAAGCACCCUCCACACUUAUUAGGGAACUGAUGUAUCCUUAAGCAUGGGGGCAAACAAAACUGGUUAUAGCUACCAUGUAAAAAUGCAUGGCCCAGCUGAAAGGGGAGUAGGACCAGAGGGAUGAACAGUUGGAGGUGAAGAUGUCCCCUUGUGAGGAGUUGCCUUGAACUGUCACCUGGAGCUUGAAGUUCAUGAAGAUGAUCAGGGUGCAAAUGCCCUCCAUUCCCUCCCUGCCAGUAUUCCCUCCUGGGUCAUCCUGUACUGAGUUCUCACAGUAAAAAAGAAUGGAAUGGGAUCCCUGGGUGGCGCAGCGGUUUGGCGCCUGCCUUUGGCUCAGGGCGCGAUCCUGGAGACCCGGGAUCGAAUCCCAUGUCGGGCUCCCGGUGCAUGGAGCCUGCUUCUCCCUCUGCCUGUGUCUCUGCCUCUCUAUCUCUCUCUGUGACUAUCAUAAAUAAAUAAAAAUAAGUAAAUAAAAUAAAAAAAUAAAUAAAAAGAAUGGAAUGAAAUCCAGAGAGUCUAAUCAGGCUCAGGCCACAUUCUUGGCUUCCUGAACUCCAGCUCUAACCUGUGACCCCUCCCUAGGACAUUAGUUUUGCAUGUGAAGUGUCUGGGUGAACAAAACACUGCCUGUUCACUAGGAGCUUUUCAAGAGGUGCUGCCUGGACUCCAUCUAGUCCAAGUGGAAUAAGCCUGGCAAUGAGCACCUGGCACCAACAGUCCAUGCCACCAUCAUCCAGUUCAGUGGUGUGGCCAAAUGUGUCAUCACCAUGUACCGUGGCAACCCAAGCAUCACAGCCCAGGACAGGCUGUACAGACAGUGGUGGAUCACUGGAUAAAGUGGCCAAGCCUGUAAAAUCUUGUAGAAAUAUUCUUCACUGCAUGCCAUCCUCUCUGCUCUUCAGAGUGCCUCAAUUCACUGCCUGAAGAAGACAUGGGAGAAAGUUUCCAGGAGUAGCCAUCUAAAAUGUCACCUUGGUGAUGGACUUUUGGAGAGCCCAGAAAAGGCUGCAGAUGAAGGUGGGUGUGCCUGAGUUACAGGGCCCCCAGAAUCAGAGAAGAAGGGCUCCUCUCUCACAACUGGAGGCCUCCAAAUCAAGACAGGUGGUCCUUCUGACUCCAGCUCUGCCUCCUGUUGCCACACCUUCUAAAAUUCUUAUUUAGAAGUACCUAGGAGAAGGGUCUAUAAAAACUGGAUACAGAAUGUUGGUGGGGAGAGCCACAGGGCUACAUACCCUGUGAUUUUCUAAAAGCAGGCCUGGAGGUGAUGUUCUUGGAGGGUGGGGGGAAAGAGAAUUGACAGGAGGCUGCUAAGGGUCCUAGGCUGCUCCACGUGGGAAGCUGGGGGCCAGGAGGCUGAAGUAUUUUCAGGGGAGAGUCUCUAUGGGCAUCAAAGAGCAGAGACUCAUCCCAUCCCCACCCCAUGACACAGGGUGUCGUUUCCUUCCUUGCCACUUUCUUCACUGAUCUGAUGAUGCUGGACAUUGCAAUGGAGAAGUACCUGGAGGUGGGUGAGCCUGGGGAUUAUGGAGGAGGGACCAGGAUCCUGAGGUUUGAGAACAGAAAGCCCCUGGACUGAGCCUUGAGCUCUCUUGUCAAACCACCCUGCACGAAAACCUCACAGCUGCCCCUGUGAGCUUGAAUUUCUUGCCCAUGUCAGUGAUGAGUGAAGGAAGACUGCACUUAAUUCAUUGGUUCCAGUGCCCGAGACUAGUGAAGCAGCAGAAAUUUCUGCAUUCAAAGCUGCAUGAGUUUUGUCGUUUGUCUGAGUUGACCUCAGCCUCCCGCUGUGAGGCUGCCUAUUGUGGGUAGGGAGUGAAGUCAGGACCCUCCACAUUCAGAGAGCACUUAAGUAGCCUAGCAGCCCCUUCCUUCCUGAGGCUUCAGUCUCCCCUUCUGUCAUCAGAGAGGGUUGUGCUAUAGGAUCCAGACCUAUAGCCAGAUCAUCUACCCCCAUCCUUCUUUCACUGGACCCCAGAGCUUGGCCUAGAUCCCAGUCCUUUUAUCUGUGUUUGCAUGACCCCCUCAUGUGUCCUGGCCUUAGUGCAGCAUGAGAAAGUAUGGAUAUAAUGAGCUAGUAGUAACCAGAGGGCUUUUUCUGAUGGACUUUGGUUGGCUGCUUUCCAGGGGAAUGAGAUCAACCACCAGAAAAAGAAUAAGGUGAGCAUCUGUUUCACUUCCUAUAGGGAAAGGUAGAGGAGUAGGUAUCAGAGAUGUCCCUGGGAAGAACAUUCCUUGGCUUUCUAUCCCUUCCACCUCACAUAUACUGGGGUAGUUUGAUAAUAAAUAAGUGGAAGACCCAUUCAGUGAGUAAGUGCAGAUAGAGGAAUGGCAUCAAGGAUAACUUCCUGGAGGAGGGUACAUUUUUACUCUACCUGAGAACAGGUAGGAACUGGAUGAAUUUUCAGGAAGGAGGGUUGGCAUGUGUGCAAAGACCCGAGACUGAUCCUCUGGCCCACUGCUCAAUCCUCACAAAGCCCUGCAGCUUUCCUACCCAGGCUCUAUAUGCAUCCUGUCCUUCUCUCUUGGCCCAGGAAUACAAAGUAAUGACAGAGAUCAUGCUGCUCCAGGUGGCUGCAGGUAAUUACAACCUACAGCCCAAGGAUCCAUGUAGGGCCUCAUUCAAGUCUAUGGAGUGGCUCAACAAGGAUGAGAAGUGAGACCCAUCAGGAGCCUGGUGAGGGUAGAGGUGGACUCUUUCUGGUGGCCACUCUGGGGAUCCAUCUUCUUUGGCUCCCUGAGCAGCCUCAAGCCCUCUUGCUUGGGCAGCAGACUCUGGCUGCUGGGAAAACACUGGGAAGGACUCCUGAAUUGAAGUUCCUGGUCAACUCACACAUGUCACUCUGUCCUUAGCUACCUCCUGUCCUGCCAGCUGAAGCCCCAGUCCUGGCUGGCCAGCAGAACUCAAGAACAAAAAGAACUGGCCACUGUCAAGCACAGGGCUGAGUGAGUGUCCAGUGGCAAUGCAAUGUUUCCUCAGCAGCUGGAGCACUUGUGGUACUUGGGCCCCAUCUGCUCAACACCCCUUCUUCCCAUCUAUUCAAUUAUUUUAAGGGGCAAUAUUUAAUUUUCUUAAAUAGUAAAUAGUAGCUUUGAAUAUUAUAUUAAAUCCCUCUUUCUUUUACA